rnacentral:rRNA from 1 species
GGCAGCCCUACCAGCUCUUGCUGGGAUCCCAUCGAAUCUCACAAGCUAAACAGGGUCAGGGCAUGUCAGUACUUGGGAGGAGACCUCCAGGGGCACUUGUAGUGUUGAUG